GGGGAAGCACCAUAGCUCAGUGGUAGAGCACCAGCUUUGAAUGCAGAAGGUGCCAGGUUCAAACCCCGGCAUCUCCA